rnacentral:rRNA from 1 species
UACGUAGGGGUCGAGCGUUGUCCGGAGUUGCUGGGCGUAAAGCGUGUGCAGGCGGCUCAUUGCGCCCGGCGUGAAAGCCCCCGGCUCAACCGGGGAGAGUCGUCGGGGACGGGUGAGCUUGAGGGUAUCAGGGGCUGGUGGAAUUCCCGGUGUAGUGGUGAAAUGCGUAGAGAUCGGGAGGAACAUCAGUGGCGAAGGCGGCCAUCUGGGACAACACUGACGCUGAAGCACGAAAGCGUGGGGAGCAAACAGG